UUUCCGUAGGUGAACCUGCGGAAGGAUCAUUAACACGUUCCAAAACGUAUCAACCAAACGGUUAAGUGCAAAACUUAUUCCCUAAGAGAGGGAGCUGGACAAAUGUCUUUAGUGAUGGGUGGGUCUUCGGACUCGCAAAGACAGUUGGACCAGGGUCUCGAGCCCAAAGCUCCUUUUUUUAGGCUUUCCCCCCCCCUUUUUCCAUCACUUCUCCUUUACCCUUUUCCCCCCUCUGAACCUUAUGACUAAAUCCUUCGAACGAAGAAAUUUGUUUGGAAUUGUAUAUCUAACACUGUACAACUCUUAGCAAUGGAUAUCUUGGUUCUC
rnacentral:misc_RNA from 1 species